rnacentral:lncRNA from 1 species
GGAAAAGAAAGCAGGAAACACUGGAAAGAUAAAUGAGGUCUUUCCUAUGAAGAUGGAUGUGAUGGUGUCAUUUUAUCUCCACCCCAGGAACUUGUGUCAACAGCUCCCUCCACGGACCAUUCACUAGAGUUGCAAUGUCACACAGUGUCAGAAUCGGGUGUGUGUGAUUGUGUGUGUAUGUGUGUGUGUG